rnacentral:rRNA from 1 species
GACGUAGGGCGCGAGCGUUGUCCGGAUUUAUUGGGCGUAAAGAGCUCGUAGGCGGCUUGUCGCGUCGACUGUGAAAACCCGCGGCUCAACUGCGGGCCUGCAGCCGAUACGGGCAGGCUAGAGUUCGGUAGGGGAGACUGGAAUUCCUGGUGUAGCGGUGAAAUGCGCAGAUAUCAGGAAGAACACCUAUGGCGAAGGCAGCUCUCUGGGACGGUACUGACGCUGAGACGCGAAAGCGUGGGGAGCGAACAGG